UGGGAUAUACAGGUGAAAACCUGGGCAAUACCGGAUGUGACAGAAGAUUGGCAUCUUUCUUCUAUCAAAGGAGCAAUUCGCUUCAGGAACGGUUCAUGACUCAUCAGCUAGUUGGUAGGGUAAAGGCCUACCAAGGCUACGACGGGUAGGGGGUCUGAGAGGAUGAUCCCCCCGAGAGGGACUGAGACACGGCCCUCACACCUACGGGUGGCAGCAGUUAGGAAUCGUUGUCAAUGGGGGAAACCCUGAACACGCGACGCCGCGUGGAGGAUGAAGGAUUUAGGUCUGUAAACUCCUUUUACCAGGAAAGACUUAGGACGGUACCUGGUGAAUAAGCUCCGGCUAACUACGUGCCAGCAGCCGCGGUGAUACGUAGGGAGCAAGCGUUGUCCGGAUUUACUGGGCGUAAAGGGCGCGUAGGCGGCUCAUUAAGUGUGUGGUGAAAUCUCUGUGCUCAACGCAGAAAUUGCCACGCAUACUGGCGAGCUUGAGGGACGUAGAGGUGAAUAGAAUUUCCGGUGUAGCGGUGACAUGCGAUCAUAUCGGAAGGAAUACCAAUGGCGAAGGCAGUUCACUGGACGUUUCCUGACGCUGAGGCGCGAAAGCGUGGGUAGCAAACAGAAUUAGAUACUCUGGUAGUCCACGCCCUAAACGAUGGAUGCUAGGCGUUGGGGGUAUCGACCCCUCCAGUGCCGCAGCUAACGCAUUAAGCAUCCCGCCUGGGGAGUACGGCCGCAAGGUUGAAACUCAAAUGAAUUGACGGGACCCCGCACAAGCGGUGGAGCAUGUGGAUUAAUACGAUACUAACCGUAGAACCUUACCCAGGUUUGACAUCGCGGGCAAGCCUGUGAAAGCAGGCCCUCCUCCACAAGAGGACCCAAAGACACCUGUUGCAUGGCUGUCGUCAGCUCGUGCCGUGAGGUGUUUGGUUAAGUCCAGCAACGAGCGCAACCCUCGUCUUAUGUUGCCAGCGGGUAAAGCCGGGAACUCAUGAGAGACUGCCUGUGUAAGCAGGAGGAAGGUGGGGAUGACGUCAAGUCAGCAUGGCGGUUACGCCUGGGGCUUCACACAUGCUACAAUGGGCGAAACAGAGCGCAGCAAUACCGCGAGGUGGAGCUAAUCACAAAAAUACGUCCUCAGUUCAGAUUGCAGUCUGCAACUCGACUGCAUGAAGGUGGAAUCGCUAGUAAACGCAGAUCAGCUAUGCUGCGUUGAAUACGUUCCCGGGGUUUGUACACACCGCCCGUCAAGUCACCCGAGUCGUUUUCACCCGAAGUCCGUGGCCCAACCGAAAGGAGGGAGCGGCCGAAGGUGGGGGGGGCGAGGGGGACUAAGUCGGAACAAGGUA
rnacentral:rRNA from 1 species